GGCUUAUUGAUUUUGAUUUUAAGUCUAGCCUGCCCAAUGAGGAGUUAAAUGGCCGCGGUAUAUUAACCGUGCAAAGGUAGCAUAAUCAUUAGUUUUUUAAUUGAAAGCUAGAAUGAAAGGUUGGAUAAGAAAGUUACUGUCUCUAUAAGAAUUAAUUAGAAUUUUAUUUUUAAGUUAAAAAGCUUAGAUAAGUAUAGAAGACGAGAAGACCCUAUAGAGUUUUAUAUUUUUUUAUUUUUAAAAAAUUAUGGUCUAACAAUUAUUUUAAAUAAAAAAGUAUUUUGUUGGGGUGACAAGAAAAUUAAAUAAACUUUUUUUUUAUAAAUCCAUUUAUUUAUGAAUUCAUGAUCCUAGAAUUUAGAUUAUAAGAUUAAAUUACCUUAGGGAUAACAGCGUAAUUUUUUUUAGAGUUCUUAUCAAAAAAAAAGAUUGCGACCUCGAUGUUGGAUUAAAAUUAAUUUAAGGUGUAGAAGCUUUAAUAUUAGGUCUGUUCGACCUUUGAAAUUUUACAUGAUCUGAGUUUAAACCGGUGUGAG
rnacentral:rRNA from 1 species